GAUGAACGCUGGCGGCGUGCCUAAUACAUGCAAGUCGAGCGAACAGACGAGGAGCUUGCUCCUCUGACGUUAGCGGCGGACGGGUGAGUAACACGUGGAUAACCUACCUAUAAGACUGGGAUAACUUCGGGAAACCGGAGCUAAUACCGGAUAAUAUAUUGAACCGCAUGGUUCAAUAGUGAAAGACGGUUUUGCUGUCACUUAUAGAUGGAUCCGCGCCGCAUUAGCUAGUUGGUAAGGUAACGGCUUACCAAGGCAACGAUGCGUAGCCGACCUGAGAGGGUGAUCGGCCACACUGGAACUGAGACACGGUCCAGACUCCUACGGGAGGCAGCAGUAGGGAAUCUUGCGCAAUGGGCGAAAGCCUGACGGAGCAACGCCGCGUGAUUGAUGAAGGUCUUCGGAUCGUAAAACUCUGUUAUUAGGGAAGAACAAAUGUGUAAGUAACUAUGCACGUCUUGACGGUACCUAAUCAGAAAGCCACGGCUAACUACGUG
rnacentral:rRNA from 1 species